rnacentral:rRNA from 1 species
GACGUAGGGCGCGAGCGUUGUCCGGAAUUACUGGGCGUAAAGGGUCUGUAGGCGGCCAACUAAGUCAGACGUGAAAUCCCUCAGCUUAACUGGGGAACUGCGUCUGAGACUGGAUGGCUCGAGUGCAGGAGAGGAAUGCGGAAUUCCAGGUGUAGCGGUGAAAUGCGUAGAUAUCUGGAGGAACACCGGUGGCGAAGGCGGCAUUCUGGACUGCAACUGACACUGAGAGACGAAAGCCAGGGGAGCAAACGGG